rnacentral:tRNA from 2 species
GUGACUGUGGCCGAAUGGUGAGGCACUAGGUUGUGGUCCUAGAUCAUGCGGGUUCGAUCCCCGUCGGUCACA